rnacentral:rRNA from 1 species
AUGCGCGAAAGCGUGACGAGGUUAAUCCGAGUGGCUUCCGCUGAGGAAGUCUUUUGCCGACUUUAAAAAGGUCGGAGAAUAAGGGGAGGGCAAGUCUGGUGUCAGCCGCCGCGGUAAUACCAGCUCCUCGAGUGGUCGGGGCGAUUAUUGGGCCUAAAGCAUCCGUAGCCGGUUCCGUAGGUCUCCUGCAAAAUCCAGUCGCUCAACGAUUGGCCCGCAGGAGAUACCGCGGGACUAGGAGGCGGGAGAGGUGGACGGUACUCCACGUGUAGGGGUAAAAUCCUUUGAUCCGUGGAAGACCACCAGAUUGCUUGCGGUUAAUGACCACAGGCACGGUGAAUGGCGAAGGCGGUCCACCAGAACGCGCUCGACGGUGAGGGAUGAAAGCUGGGGGAGCGAACCGGAUUAGAUACCCGCGUAGUCC